UUCUUCGUGGUGUAGUGGUCAGCACGCUCGACGCGUAACCGAGAGGUCCGUGGUUCGAUUCCCGGCGAAGGUG
rnacentral:tRNA from 1 species